AUUGAACGCUGGCGGCAUGCCUUACACAUGCAAGUCGAACGGCAGCGGGGGAGAAGCUUGCUUUUCCUGCCGGCGAGUGGCGAACGGGUGAGUAAUACAUCGGAACGUGCCCUGUAGUGGGGGAUAACUAGUCGAAAGAUUAGCUAAUACCGCAUACGACCUGAGGGUGAAAGUGGGGGACCGCAAGGCCUCAUGCUAUAGGAGCGGCCGAUGUCUGAUUAGCUAGUUGGCGGGGUAAAGGCCUACCAAGGCGACGAUCAGUAGCUGGUCUGAGAGGACGAGCGGCCGCACUGGGACUGAGAGACGGCCCAGAGUCCUACGGGGGGCAGCAGUGGGGAAUUUUGGACAAUGGGCGAAAGCCUGAUCCAGCAAUGCCGCGUGUGUGAAGAAGGCCUUCGGGUUGUAAAGCACUUUUGUCCGGAAAGAAAUGGCUCUGGUUAAUACCUGGGGUCGAUGACGGUACCGGAAGAAUAAGGACCGGCUAACUACGUGCCAGCCGCCGCCGUAA
rnacentral:rRNA from 1 species